rnacentral:rRNA from 1 species
AGUGAACGCUGGCGGUAGGCCUAACACAUGCAAGUCGAACGGUAACAGGAAGAGGCUUGCUGCUUCGCGGUCGAGGGGCGGACGGGUGAGUAAUAUCCGGGAGGAUGUCUGUUGGAGGGGGGGAUCUACUAGGAACGGUAGCUCCAACAGCAUAAAGUCCCAAGACCAAAGAGGCGGACCUUCGGGCCUCUUGCCAUCGUAUGUGCCCAGAUGUGGGUAGCUAGAUGGUGGGGUACCGGGCCACCAAGGCGACGAUCCCCAGAUGGUCUGAGAGGAUGAGCAGCCACACUGGAACGGAGACACGGUCCAGACUCCUACGGGAGGCAGCAGUGGGGAAUAUUGGACAAUGGGCGCAAGCCUGAUGCAGCCAUACCGCGUGUAUGAAGAAGGCCUUCGGGUUGUAAAGUACUUUGAGCGGGGAAGAAGGGAAUAAAGUUAAUACCCUUGCUCAUUGACGGUACCCGCAGAAGAAGCACCGGCUAACUCCGUG